UGCAUCGAUGGCUCAGUGAGGCUUCCGGACUGGCCCCGAGAGGUCGGCAACGACCCCUCAGGGCCGGAAAGCUAUCCCAACUCGGUCAUUUAGAGGGGGUAAGGGUCGUAACGGGGUCUCCGUUGGUGAACCCGCGGAGGGAUCAUUAUUAGGGGCCGAGGGGCUACUUAAAACCCUCGCGAACUCGUCCGGGUUGCUUCGGCGGCGCGGCCUCCCUCACGGGGGCGCCGCAGCCCCGCCUCUCCGGAGGUGUAGGGCGCCCGCCGGAGGUACGAAACUCUGUAUUAUAGUGGCAUCUCUGAGUAAAAACAAAUGGGUUAAAACUUUCAACAACGGAUCUCUUGGUUCUGGCAUCGAUGGGGAACGCAGCGAAAUGCGAUGGGUAAUGUGAAUUGCAGAAUUCAGUGAAUCAUCGAAUCUUUGAACGCACAUUGCGCCCGCUAGUACUCUAGCGGGCAUGCCUGUUCGAGCGUCAUUUCAACCCUCGGGCCCUGCUUGGUGUUGGGGCCCUACGGCUGCCGUAGGCCCUGAGGGGGGGUGGCGGGCUCGCUACAACUCCGAGCGUAGUAAUUCAUUAUCUCGCUAGGGACGUUGCGGCGCGCUCCUGCCGUUAGGGACCCUCUUUAACUCGGGGUUGACCUCGGAUCAGGUAGGAAUACCCGCUGAACUUGGGCAUAUCAAUGGGCGGAGGAAGGGAAACCAACAGGGAUUGCCCCCGUAACGGCGAGUGGGGCGGCAACAGCUCAAAUUUGAAAUCUGGCUUCGGCCCGAGUUGUAAUUUGUAGAGGAUGCUUUUGGUGAGGUGCCUUCUGAGUUCCCUGGAACGGGACGCCCGAGAGGGUGAGAGCCCCGUAUAGUCGGCCCCC
rnacentral:rRNA from 1 species